GAUGAACGCUAGCUACAGGCUUAACACAUGCAAGUCGAGGGGAAACGACAUCGAAAGCUUGCUUUUGAUGGGCGUCGACCGGCGCACGGGGGAGUAACGCGUAUCCAACCUGCCCACCACUUGGGGAUAACCUUGCGAAAGUAAGACUAAUACCCAAUGAUAUCCCACGAAGACAUCUGAAUGGGAUUAAAGAUUUAUCGGUGAUGGAUGGGGAUGCGUCUGAUUAGCUUGUUGGCGGGGUAACGGCCCACCAAGGCAACGAUCAGUAGGGGUUCUGAGAGGAAGGUCCCCCACAUUGAAACUGAGACACGGUCCAAACUCCUACGGGAGGCAGCAGUGAGGAAUAUUGGUCAAUGGGCGAGAGCCUGAACCAGCCAAGUAGCGUGCAGGAAGACGGCCCUAUGGGUUGUAAACUGCUUUUAUAAGGGAAUAAAGUGGGUCACGUGUGACUUUUUGCAUGUACCUUAUGAAUAAGGACCGGCUAAUUCCGUG
rnacentral:rRNA from 1 species